GUCCCAGAUAAGCUGAAAAAGAGUGCUUAUUCUGAUUCAUGGGAAGGCAAAAUUAAACUCAAAACUGAGAGUUUCGCUGAGAAACCCAUUUCUUUCUUCAAUUAAAGGUGUUUCCUAGUAACUUAUCCAUACAUGU